UUUCAUCAGUCUCCUGUGUCGUGCACUCCUACUAUCUGAUGCUCCGCUAGUAAAAUUGUCAGAUCAAAGUGUCUUUAGUAUACUGUGUACUGUAUCCUGAGCUGUGUUCUCUCUCCUCAGACCCCACCCCACCUGUGAGUGCAGCUGGCAAAGCCUCUUCAUACAGACAGCCUGCACUGGUCCUCCUCCUCCUGUGCUGUCUCUUACUGGCUGCCAUCAUCUCCCUCGCUGUCUAUCAUUUCAAAACAUCAAUCUUGGAUAAAUACUGUCCUCACAAAGAAGGUUCUUCAAAGGAUCAUUGUCUUGCUGCAUGACCCAGCUGCGCUUCAGCUUCAGCUCACGGACGGGUGGCCUGACAUUCUCCUGUAGAAUUCUGUGAUACAGAGCAGAAUUCAUGGUUCCUUCAAUGAUGGCAAGGCAUCCAGGUCCUGAUGCAGCAAAGCAUCCCCAAACCAUGACACUACCACCACCAUGCUUGACAGUUGGUAUGAGGUUCUUACUGUGGAAUGCAGUGUUUGGGUUUCGCCAGACAUAACAGGGCCCAUGUCGGCCAAAAAGUUCCACUUUUGACUCAUCUGUCCAUAGAACAUUGUUCCAGAACUCUUGAGGAUCAUCCAGGUGCUUUUUGGCAAACCUGAGACGAGCAUUCGUGUUCUUCUUAGUGAGCAAUGAUUUCCGCCUUGCUACUCUGCCAUGAAUCCCAUUUUUGCCCAGUGUCUUUCUGAUGGUGGAGUCAUGAACACUGACCUUAGCCACUCCUGGGAAGAUUCACUACUGUCCCAAACUUUCUCCAUUUGGACAAUAUGGCUCCGACUGUGGUUCGGUGGAGCCCCAGAGCCUUAGAAAUGGCUUUCUAACCCUUUCCAGACUGAUAGGCAUCAACAACUUUUUCCGGAGGUCUUCAGGAAUUUCUUUUGUUCGUGGCAUGAUGUGCCUCUAGAACCUGUGUGCUGACAAGUUAGUCAGAUUUAUAUUGGGCAGGGCUGGCCCAAAUCAGGCCUGGUUGUUAACUCAAACAGCUGACCCCAAUUAUCCCUUUAAUUGGGUUGAGUUAACUAGGGGGGUGUGGCAAUGUGCCCCUCCCCUGUGUGCAUGUGUGUGUUAUGUGUUGUAUGUUGCGUGUGUUAAUGUUGGUGUAUAGAUAUUGGUACACGGAAUAUAAACGGGUAUGUGUUUCACAUGUGAUUUAAAUUGUAUAUUUGUAUUUAGGCACGGGAUUGCACAUCACUGCACGUGCAUUUAAAGUAUAGUAUGUGAGCACGGGGUUGCACAGAAUUAAUUCACAUGCUGGGAUUCAAGUGAAUAAUUAAUUAGUAAUUGAAUCCCAGCACAACAGUAUAUAUAGAUGCACAUUUCUUUCACUCGGGGGGG